rnacentral:lncRNA from 1 species
AUCUCAGAUUUAAUUUGCUCAGUGAAAAUAAAGAUGUUUCUUAACGAUGGAUUCAAAUUCUUACUUGCACCUCCAACCAAAAUUAUUUUGCUCAUAAAUAAUCAACAAACUACAUCAUCAGAUUUAAUCUUCUUAUUGCUAGAUGCAUCAUAAUCGUUCCAGUUUCUAAUCAAUCUUCUUGUCAUAGUCAUUCCUGCACUUGCACUUACAACAGACGAAACACGUGUUCUUGGUGAUCAUACAAGCCUUGUAAUAAAAAAAUAGUAAUCAAACACGAGAAUUAACAAGAUUCACAAGUGAAAACAAAUACAAAUUUUUUUUGAGCAUAUACAUGACUUUUUCCUAUGUCAUUUCUUCUUGUAAUCAGAAGCAAAAUACCAAGUUUAGACAAACCCUAAAAACUCCAAACACUUGAACAAACAUUAUAUUAUUUUUCCAACUAUCACAGAUAAUCAUAAUCAACAAAGCUUUAAUAAUUAUAUGAUCACAGGACAUCAUUAUUUUAAUCCUCAAUGCUCAAAAAAUUAAGAAUCACAAUCAAAUUUUGGUUAUUACCCUAAGUUGAUUGCUUAGAAUUACUAGUAAUAACUUUAAAAGCAAAUCCAAACAGCCCUAAAUUGAUAAGUUUAGGGAAAAACAUGAGAGCAACAUUUUUUAGAAAAAAUCUAAAAACAUGUAUGCCAAUUUAGAAUUUUGGUUGAAAGCAAAUUUGAUGUACAAAAACCACAUAUAUACAAUAAAUAAAUGCCAUAACUUUACUUAUAAUAGAAAAACAUGUAUAGAAGAAGAAAACUACUUACAAAGAGGCCGAUGAGGAGUGGUGGUCUCAAAGAAACGCAUCUAAUUCCAAAUGUAGAAACUGCAAAAAAAAAAAUCAUCAAAAUUAAUGAUAUAGGACAGAAAUCAAGAGUUUGAAGGAUAGAAAAUAUAAGGUACUUGCAAUGAUAAGCCUUCCACCAGUAGAUGACAAGUAGAUGACAACUGCAACUCAUAUUCUGAUCUAUUACCAAAAGGGCAUUUACGUCUUUUUGCAUAGUAAUGAAGUAAUAUAAAGUAAUGAGUACUGACCUUGACUUGCUUAAUGAAAGAAACAGCAUUCAACAUUCCACUUCUUGAUAAUCAGACCAAAUUAAAGCGUUAUAAGAAGAGAUUUAGGGAUUUAAAACAUAAUAGGAAGAUAUAAAUCAUAAUUAGAAGAGAUAUAUCUCUGCAUCUACAGUAUUGACACUUCCCUUAUGCAUGAUUUAGAUCUUUAGCAAGCUCAUAUGUAAUCAAUACCAAUCGAAUGUAGUGAUUGCAUGUAAUCAAACCUGAAAACAAAAAGAAAUUCCUCAACAUUUUUAUAUCCCCUUCUUAAUUACAAUUGAGAACAAAUUUGUGGAAAGACUUAUCAAAAACAUCAUAGAAGAUCAACUCCUAACUUAUCAACAAGAGUGUCACCUAAUCAGCAAUCUCAAAUAAAACAUGUUUAGGGCUUACCUUUACACUCGAUUAUAGGCUUCUAAGCUCUUGUACUGUUGAGAUGAAGACCCAAAAAAAACCGAGAAAACACCAAUGGGGAUAUGGGGCUAUUUCGUGAGAAACUCAUUGAAAAAUGUUCUGAUAGGAGAAGGAAGGAGCCUAAUGGCAUCGAUCCUAGAAUUCUUAAUUCCAUCUCAACUCGAUUCGUGAUCUGACUUGGCACAUUAUCCAGAUCGACGGUUUUAUAUUGUUUUCUCCACAAAAUCGUCAGUACCUUGAUUAUGAAGAGAAGUUGUUCAUACUAUUUUCAACCAGCCAAUAGAGGAUGAACAAGGGUUAGGGGAAACACGAUCGACGAUAUGGGCUAAGGCGCGAUGUGGAGGAGCCAGGGUGGAGGGACGGAUAGGUAACGAUGACCCCAUGAGAGAAAAACGAAAUAACGAACCCUAGUGGUUUAGAUUAUGUUGGGGGUAAUGGGAAUUUGGAAACCUGAGCGGGAUGUGAGUUGAUUUUCAAUAUUCAGGAUUGACAUCUUCGAUUGUCGAUAGCAGACGUUUAGAUCGAUGGUGCAAUGGAGAACGCGAACAUUGAAGAUAAUAGAUAUUAGGUUUAAAGAGGAGGGAAUUACUAAAUCUAAAAAAUUUCACGUAGAGGGAAUCUGAAACUUUU